CACCUUGGAUACUACCGCAUGGACCAGGUUUGUGGAAAAGCUAUGAGCAUUUGAAGAUAAAGAUCCUUAGGAGAAGGAAAAGGGUGAAUGGACAAAAGACAUGAUGAACUGGCCUAAAGUCAUCUACCCUAACAUUGUAAAAUACCUUGUUUACAACAAGGUACGAUGUCACCAGGACAUUGCAAGUGUAUGGCAGUGAAGACUCGGCCGGAGGCGGAGUGUUGGUGGCCAUAAAAAUUUUGUGUACAGAUGAACUGCCAAUGGGGGUUUGACUUAGACCUACUUGUAGGACAUAGUUUAUUGUUGCUGCUUUCCUUCCCCUGGAAUUGGAUUGCACUUCCACAUAGAGGUUGUGCAUUUCUGAAAUGUAAGGGCACCUGCUGCAUUUCAGCUGUAGUCGAGUACCCAGGCCAUGCCUCUCCUCAGAGUCCAUGUCCCAGGUCAGGUUGCCAUCACAUCCUGGAUUGGUCUUCCCAUGUUUUUUGAAGGCUGUAUUGAACAUCCCACUUGUCUUUUGAAGAUGGAGCAGUCUUUGGGAGUCUGUAUCACACCUGCCGAAACCAGUUUUAUAUCUGAUCACUUCCUAUCCAGAGGUCUUGGCUGCAGCAACCGGUGGCACCCAUGUCACAGCAUCAUUUCCUGUUCCUCACACACAGAGGGUGGAUGCCUCACCAGUUCCAGGUUUCCCGGUCUACUCUUGUGAAUGGUGCAGGAAGAACACCAGAAUUGCCUAGGUAGAGGGGGCCGCCAUUUUGGACACCCAAAGUUGUGCGGAGAAGAAAAGCUGACAGGAGUCCUGAUUGGUCAUUAACAAAAAAUCUUUGUGGUGGAAUUCGACAGUGAAAUAUAAGUGAUAAAAAUUAUAUGUGACUUAACAGAAUGUGUAAAAAAAGAUAUAGGACUUAUAAAGGAAGACUUGAGAUGAGGGGUGAUAUUUUGCUGGACAAUUUCAUUCAGUGCGAAUCUAUACCAGUUGUAAACAGGCCAAAAUUUAAAGGAUAAACGCAAUGGCAUGAUAUAUUUUUCAUGGUGGAAUUUCGAAGAAGAGGUGUUGAACUUUGCU